AGUCUCAGUUCCUUCACUGUUAACCACUUUUAUAUCCACCGUUGACUUUGAAUUUCCGAUUGUACUCAGGCACCUUGCCCUAAGUCUGCUUCUCGAAUAGUAUCUGAAACUAUUGACGGCGGCGGCGGCAAUGUGCAUUUUAGGCCUUUGGAAGGGAAGCAACGGUUUGUAGCAUUUUAGUAGCGUCGCCAUUCAGAGCGGCGGAGGAGGAAGCGGAGGGGCGGCGGAGGACUAGCCGGCCGGCGACUUCCAGAAUAGUUUUAUCUUUGUUUA
rnacentral:misc_RNA from 1 species